GCUUUUUUAGUUUAUUAAAAAUAUCAUUUUGUGGAAAUGAAGAAGUGGUUACAAAAGGCA
rnacentral:tRNA from 1 species